GACGAACCGUGCGAACGUUAUUCGGAAUCACUGGGCUUAAAGCGCGUGUAGGCGGGCCGGCACGUCGGGUGCUGAAAGCCCCCGGCUCAACCGGGGAAGCGGCCUCGAUACGGCCGGCCUGGAGGGGGGUAGGGGGAGCCGGAACUUCCGGUGGAGCGGUGAAAUGCGUUGAGAUCGGAAGGAACGCCCGUGGCGAAAGCGGGCUCCUGGACCCCACCUGACGCUGAGACGCGAAAGCCAGGGGAGCGAACGGG
rnacentral:rRNA from 1 species